GUCUACAGCCAUACCACCCUGAAAGUGCCCGAUCUCGUCUGAUCUCGGAAGCUAAGCAGGGUCGGGCCUGGUUAGUACUUGGAUGGGAGAAGCUACUGUGAAAUACUCUUUUAUGAAUGCC
rnacentral:rRNA from 1 species